rnacentral:rRNA from 1 species
UACGUAGGGCGCAAGCGUUGUCCGGAAUUAUUGGGCGUAAAGAGCUCGUAGGCGGUUUGUCGCGUCUGCUGUGAAAACCUAAGGCUCAACCUUGGGCUUGCAGUGGGUACGGGCAGACUAGAGUGCGGUAGGGGUGACUGGAAUUCCUGGUGUAGCGGUGGAAUGCGCAGAUAUCAGGAGGAACACCGGUGGCGAAGGCGGGUCUCUGGGACGUGACUGACGCUGAGACGCGAAAGCGUGGGGAGCAAACAGG